rnacentral:rRNA from 1 species
AUUGAACGCUGGCGGCAGGCCUAACACAUGCAAGUCGAGCGGAUGAAGGCAGCUUGCUCCUGGAUUCAGCGUCGGACGGGUGAGUAAUGCCUAUGAAUCUGCCUGGUAGUGGGUUGUAACGUCCUGAAACGGGCGCUAAUACCGCAUACUUCCUGAUGCAGCAAGUUGGGGAUCUUCGGACCUCACGCUAUCAUAUGGACCUAGGUCGGAUUAGCUAGUUGGUUGGUUAAGUGCCUACCAAGGCGACGAUCGGUAACUAGUCGGAGUGGCUGAUCAGUCACACUGGAACUGAGACACGGUCAAGAGUACUACGGGAGGCAGCAGUGGGGAAUAGUGGACAAUGGGCGAAAGCAUGAUACAGUCAGGCCGAGCGUGUGAAGAAGGUCUUCGGAUCGUAAAGACGUUUAAGUUGGGAGGAAGCGCAGUAAGUUGAGACGAUGCUGGUGUGACGUUAACAACAGAAGAAGCACCGGCUAACUACGUG